rnacentral:tRNA from 1 species
CAGAGGGUAGUUUAACUUAGAAUC